rnacentral:rRNA from 1 species
GACGAACGCUGGCGGCGUGCCUAACACAUGCAAGUCGUGCGAUUCUCUUCGGAGAAGAGCGGCGGACGGGUGAGUAACGCGUGGGUAACCUGCCCUGUACACACGGAUAACAUACCGAAAGGUAUGCUAAUACGAGAUAAUAUGCUUUUAUCGCAUGGUAGAAGUAUCAAAGCUUUUGCGGUACAGGAUGGACCCGCGUCUGAUUAGCUAGUUGGUAAGGUGACGGCUUACCAAGGCGACGAUCAGUAGCCGACCUGAGAGGGUGAUCGGCCACAUUGGAACUGAGACACGGUCCAAACUCCUACGGGAGGCAGCAGUGGGGAAUAUUGCACAAUGGGCGAAAGCCUGAUGCAGCAACGCCGCGUGAGCGAUGAAGGCCUUCGGGUCGUAAAGCUCUGUCCUCAAGGAAGAUAAUGACGGUACUUGAGGAGGAAGCCCCGGCUAACUACGUGCCAGCCGCCGCGGUAA